UACGAAGGGUGCAAGCGUUACUCGGAAUUACUGGGCGUAAAGGGCGCGUAGGCGGUACUUCAAGUCAGGCGUGAAAGCCCCGGGCUCAACCUGGGAACCGCGCUUGAGACUGGAGAACUAGAGUUCGGGAGAGGAUGGUGGAAUUCCCAGUGUAGAGGUGAAAUUCGUAGAUAUUGGGAAGAACACCGAUGGCGAAGGCAGCCAUCUGGACCGACACUGACGCUGAGGCGCGAAAGCGUGGGGAGCAAACAGG
rnacentral:rRNA from 1 species